rnacentral:rRNA from 1 species
UUGUCUCAAAGAUUAAGCCAUGCAUGUCUCAGUACAAGCCGAAUUAAGGUGAAACCGCGAAAGGCUCAUUAAAUCAGUUAUGGUUCCUUAGAUCGUACCCACAUUUACUUGGAUAACUGUGGUAAUUCUAGAGCUAAUACAUGCAAACAGAGCUCCAACCGGAAACGGAAGGAGCGCUUUUAUUAGAUCAAAACCGAUCGGUGGCGGUUUCCGUCAUCGUACAACUUGGUGACUCUGAAUAACUUUACGCUGAUCGCACGGUCUCGCACCGGCGACGCAUCUUUCAAAUGUCUGCCUUAUCAACUGUCGAUGGUAGGUUCUGCGCCUACCAUGGUUGUAACGGGUAACGGGGAAUCAGGGUUCGAUUCCGGAGAGGGAGCCUGAGAAACGGCUACCACAUCCAAGGAAGGCAGCAGGCGCGCAAAUUACCCACUCCCGGCACGGGGAGGUAGUGACGAAAAAUAACGAUACGGGACUCAUCCGAGGCCCCGUAAUCGGAAUGAGUACACUCUAAACCCUUUAACGAGGAUCAAUUGGAGGGGUGAGUGUCGAGGUGGGCCGGCACGUUUACUUUGAACAAAUUAGAGUGCUUAAGCAGGCUAAAACUUCCCCUGAAUACUGUGCGCAUGGAAUAAUGGAAUAGGACCUCUGUUCUAUUAUGUUGGUUGUCGGAACCCCGAGGUAAUGAUUAAUAGGAACCGAUGGGGGCAUUCGUAUGCGACGUUAGAGGUGAAAUUUUUGGAUCGUCGCAAGACGGACAGAAGCGAAAGCAUUUGCCAAAAACGCUUUCAUUGAUCAAGAACGAAAGUUAGAGGUUCGAAGGCGAUCAGAUACCGCCCUAGUUCUAACCAUAAACGAUGCCAGCUAGCGAUCCGCCGACGUUCUUCCGAUGACUCGGCCGGCACCUUCCGGGAAACCAAAGCUUUUGGGUUCCGGGGGAAGUAUGGUUGCAAAGCUGAAACUUAAAGGAAUUGACGGAAGGGCACCACCAGGAGUGGAGCCUGCGGCUUAAUU